UACAGAGGUUGCAAGCGUUGUUCGGAAUUACUGGGCAUAAAGCGCACGUAGGCGGUCCGCUAAGUCAUGUGUGAAAUCCCCCGGCUCAACCGGGGAAUGGCGCCUGAUACUGGCGGACUCGAGAUCGGUAGGGGUGAGUGGAACUCCAGGUGGAGCGGUGAAAUGCGUAGAUAUCUGGAGGAACACCGGUGGCGAAAGCGACUCACUGGACCGACACUGACGCUGAGGUGCGAAAGCUAGGGUAGCAAACGGG
rnacentral:rRNA from 1 species